GUCAAUAACCACUGAGCUAAAGACUCAGUGGCUUGUAGAGGAGACUUUAUAAGUCCAGUUGACCAGGCUAAGUGUUCGCUCACUACGUUAUGGACGAAAAUAUAGGCACUUUGGGAUGCUUCACCAGUCCCAAACUCUGCGGUAAGUUGUUAAAGCCAGUGCAACUUAUGUACACAACCGUCAUAUAACAUUGCCGAGGUGACUUUAAC
rfam:Beggiatoa sp. 4572_84 ex4572_84_scaffold_6920, whole genome shotgun sequence.